CAGAGGCAGCAUUAACCAACUCUCACGUCAUCUUGACAUAAAGAUUUGUCUCUUUCCAGCAGAACACAAACAGCUAGUACUCACCCGUAUUCUGAACUGGCAUCUCUCUGAAGCUGUUACCUACAUCUCCAGAAUAUCAGCUUUCGUAUUUUUUAAAAAGUUUAGGAAGGAGAAUCUGCAAAGAACUACUGGCCUCCACCCUUCCCAGCUGCCAUAAUGGAAAACCACAGCGCCACCGUGAAUCCGCAAAGAAGCUGGGACCAGGCCUAAGGGGCAGCACUCCUCAGUUAUGCAUGGUUCCAUCUACCAGAAUCUACCAGGGCAUGCUUGCUUAUGCACACAGAAGCAGAGGGGAGCAUUUUACUUGUCCAGCCUGGGCCAGAGACUACUCGAACUAGUGCUGGGUACCAGUUCAACUCCGGAACAACUACUCAUCAAACAUGAAGUCAGUGCAACUGAGGAUUCCACCCAGAGGAGUAAGAGCUCCCAAAAAGUCCAGACCAGCUACAGACCUCAGAGGAACGGUAUAUUGACCAUCGAACGCAGAUGCAGAUGCAGCCUGCAAACCACCUCCCAGGGACAGGUAUUGAAAUUUUGCUAUUAAAUCGACUCUGUCAUUUGGAGAGGAGAAAAUCAAUGUUAAGUACCGCUCUUUUUCUUCCAAGAACCAAACUAGCAGGC